rnacentral:rRNA from 1 species
AGAGUUUGAUCCUGGCUCAGGAUGAACGCUGGCGGCGUGCUAAUACAUGCAAGUCGAGCGAACAGAUAAGGAGCUUGCUCCUUUGACGUUAGCGGCGGACGGGUGAGUAACACGUGGGUAACCUACCUAUAAGACUGGAAUAACUCCGGGAAACCGGGGCUAAUGCCGGAUAACAUGUUGAACCGCAUGGUUCUACAGUGAAAGACGGUCUUGCUGUCACUUAUAGAUGGACCCGCGCCGUAUUAGCUAGUUGGUGGGGUAACGGCCUACCAAGGCGACGAUACGUAGCCGACCUGAGAGGGUGAUCGGCCACACUGGAACUGAGACACGGUCCAGACUCCUACGGGAGGCAGCAGUAGGGAAUCUUCCGCAAUGGGCGAAAGCCUGACGGAGCAACGCCGCGUGAGUGAUGAAGGUCUUCGGAUCGUAAAGCUCUGUUGUUAGGGAAGAACAAAUGUGUAAGUAACUGUGCACAUCUUGACGGUACCUAACCAGAAAGCCACGGCUAACUACGUGCCAGCAGCCGCGGUAAUACGUAGGUGGCAAGCGUUAUCCGGAAUUAUUGGGCGUAAAGCGCGCGUAGGCGGUUUUUUAAGUCUGAUGUGAAAGCCCACGGCUCAACCGUGGAGGGUCAUUGGAAACUGGAAAACUUGAGUGCAGAAGAGGAAAGUGGAAUUCCAUGUGUAGCGGUGAAAUGCGCAGAGAUAUGGAGGAACACCAGUGGCGAAGGCGGCUUUCUGGUCUGCAACUGACGCUGAUGUGCGAAAGCGUGGGGAUCAAACAGGAUUAGAUACCCUAGUAGUCC